rnacentral:rRNA from 1 species
GACGGAGGAUGCAAGUGUUAUCCGGAAUCACUGGGCGUAAAGCGUCUGUAGGUGGUUUAAAAAGUCUACUGUUAAAAAUUGAAGCUUAACUUCAAAGAUGCCGUAGAAACUUUUAAACUUGAGGAUGGUAGGGGUAGAGGGUAAUUUCCAGUGGAGCGGUGAAAUGCGUGAGAUCUUGGAAAGACCACCAAUGGCGAAAGCACUCUGCUGGCCGACACUGACACUGAGAGACGAAAGCUAGGGGAGCGAAUGG